CAAUAGCGUAUAUUAAAGUUGUUGCAGUUAAAAAGCUCGUAGUUGGAUUUGUGGCGUACGGUGUGUUCCGGGCACUUGUUGCCUGAGUAACCUGCUGUUGCCAUCCUUGGGUGGAACCUGUGUGGCAUUAGGUUGUCGUGCAGGGGAUGCCCAUCAUUUACUGUGAAAAAAUUAGAGUGUUCAAAGCAGGCUUAUGCCGUUGAAUAUAUUAGCAUGGAAUAAUGAGAUAGGACUUUUUUGCUAUUUUGUUGGUUUGCGCAAGAAGGUAAUGAUUAAUAGGGACAGUUGGGGGUAUUCGUAUUCCAUUGUCAGAGGUGAAAUUCUUGGAUUUUUGGAAGACGAACUACUGCGAAAGCAUUUACCAAGGAUGUUUUCAUUAA
rnacentral:rRNA from 1 species